rnacentral:tRNA from 2 species
CAGAGCGUGGUCUAGGGGUUAUGACUCCUCAUUUACACUCUCGGGUGCUGAGGCGAUCCCCGGUUCGAUUCCGGGCGUUCUGA